CCGAGUUUUUACAACUCCCAACCCUAUGUGAACCUUACCAAUCGUUGCUUCGGCGGAACGCCCCGCGGCCCCUCGGGGUCCGGAUCCAGGCGCCCGCCGAGGAACCCAAACUCUUCUGUUUUUUAGUUGUAUCUUCUGAGUGGAUUUAAACAAAUGAAUCA
rnacentral:misc_RNA from 1 species